rnacentral:rRNA from 1 species
GGGCCCGCACAAGCGGUGGAGCAUGUGGUUUAAUUCGAUGAUACGCGAGGAACCUUACCAGGGUUUAAAUGCAGAACGACAGGGGUGGAAACACCCCCUUCUUCGGACGGACUGCAAGGUGCUGCAUGGUUGUCGUCAGCUCGUGCUGUGAAGUGUCGGGUUAAGUCCCAUAACGAGCGCAACCCCCAUUUCUAGUUGCCAGCGGUUCGGCCGGGGACUCUAGAGAAACUGCCCGCGUAAGCGGUGAGGAAGGUGGGGAUGACGUCAAAUCAUCACGGCCCUUACAUCCUGGGCUACACACGUGCUACAAUGGUAGGUACAGAGGGAAGCCACCUCGUGAGAGGGAGCGGA